rnacentral:lncRNA from 1 species
CAAAGAGACGUAGCAGGUUCUCCUGCCCACUCUGAGCAAGGAAGAAACAGAAGGAGGGCAAAGCUCUGAGCUACAGAUUGCUUCCUGGCCUUCUCCUGAGAAGCUUUACGAAAACCUCUGAAGUGUUCGUGAAUUUGCUGUAUCAGCCAUCUUUGCUCUUUCCUGAUGCUUUGUGCUCGGAAUUGGGUCACAUGCAAUUUUGCAACGGUACAGUAGUUUAUGUGAGAACUGUCCCUCCUCGACUUGCUUCCUCUGCAUCUUCAGUCUGAAGGCUAUAAAUAGAAAAUGCAGUAAGUGUGAGGAAGCUAUUGCAAAAUAUUUCCAACAUAGACUGCUCCUCUAAAAGUCUGGGUUCUAUCCAGAACCAGAAUCGGCGAUGUCAGCAUUUUAAAAGAGAGACCGAUCUCCAAGCAGUUCAGAAACAAGGAAUCCUGGAAAUCUUGUGAGGUAAGCCAGUCUAUGAGAAACUCAGAUAAACUGUCUAAAAUGAAGAUGUUUGGAGUACAGUCAGCU